rnacentral:rRNA from 1 species
CGGAGUAUUCGGUACUUAGUGGCGGACGGGUGAGUAACGCGUGAGGAUCUGCCCUCAGGAGGGGGAAACGACUGGAAACGGUCGCUAAUACCCCAUAUGCCGAGAGGUGAAAUGUUUUUUCGCCUGAGGAUGAGCUCGCGUCAGAUUAGCUAGUUGGUGGGGUAACGGCCUACCAAAGCGACGAUCUGUAGCUGGUCUGAGAGGAUGAUCAGCCACACUGGGACUGAGACACGGCCCAGACUCCUACGGGAGGCAGCAGUGGGGAAUUUUCCGCAAUGGGCGAAAGCCUGACGGAGCAAGACCGGGGUGAGGGAUGACGGCCUAAUGGUUGUAAACCUCUUUUCUCUGGGAAGAUAAUGACGGUACCAGAGGAAUAAGCCUCGGCUAACUCCGUGCCAGCAGCCGCGGUAAUACGGAGGAGGCAAGCGUUAUCCGGAAUUAUUGGGCGUAAAGCGUCCGUAGGUGGUUAAUCAAGUCAGCUGUUAAAGAGCGGAGCUUAACUCCGUUAGAGCGGUUGAAACUUGAUUGACUAGAGUUUGGUAGGGGUCGAGGGAAUUCCCAGUGUAGCGGUGAAAUGCGUAGAUAUUGGGAAGAACACCGGUGGCGAAAGCGCUCGACUGGGGCUGAACUGACACUGAGGGACGAAAGCUAGGGGAGCGAAUGGGAUU